rnacentral:lncRNA from 1 species
AACUCCUGACCUCAGGUGAUCCGCCCACCUCAGCCUCCCAAAGUGCUGGGAUUACAGGCAUGAGGCACCACAUUCGGCCAAAGUUCUAUGUCUGGUCACAGCCAUUUACAUUAAUCAGAAUUCACAGAACCAUCCAUCUUGAAGUGGUAAAUUUGCUGCAUAGAAAUUAUACCUCAAAGACCAGACGUUCAAAAAUGCCUUUGUGUUUUGUAAGCUUCAACACUUGCCCAGUGGGAACCACAAAAGCGUUGCCCAAUUUGUUGAAAGCAUUGCUGUUAUAACUUCAACAUGUGGGGAGAAGUUAUGUUUUCAUACUGUCUUUGUCUGCUCUGGCCACCGUUACAAAACACCAUAGACUGGGUGGAUUGAUCAACACACAUUUCUUUCCCACAGUGGAGGCUGGAAGUCCCCAAGACCCAGGUUCCUGGGGAGGGCUUUCUUCCUAGCCUGCAGGUGACCAACAUCUGCUGUGUCCUCUUGUGACUCUUCCUCAGUUCCUGUGCCAGAGGGGUCGGGGGACAAGUGGGCGUCCAUCUUAUAAGUGUCCUCAUAAGGCCACCAUCCUGUCGACCAGGGCACCACCCUAUACCUCAGUCAACCUUAAUGACUUCCUUGGUGGCCCCCUGUCCCGUUGCAGCCAGGGUUAAGCUUCAGCGUGCAAAGUGAAAGGCCACACAAAUCUUUGUCCGUAACAAAUGCCCAGUGGACAGGACACUCGGGUGCCCUGAGGCUGCAGGAGCUGAGGGUGAUCUUGCUCAGGUACUUCUGCUGGUACCUGCUGUAUGGGAAAAAGUCUGUUCCUCCUGGCUGGUGUCAGAAGUAACCAGGCUGAAGCCAUGCUCUGAAAGAACCUGUGCAGGGAGAGAAAGACCUGUUUGAGACCGACCUGAAAGCUCUCCGAGGGGAAAGAGCAGGUAAGCCUGGCUCCCUGAAGGUCCAGGGGGAAGAAUGGGCUUCCCUGAGAGGCCUCAUGAGGGCCGCAGUGGGAGGGAAUGAAAGGGGCGGACAGGGUAGGGAUGGGGCAGGGAUAGGAGGGAGGUCUGCAGCUGCACCCAGCACUACUCCCUCUGCCCACCAGUUCACAAAUGUGACCCCGGCCCCCUCCCAGGCUGAACAGAGGGUCCCCCUAAUUUGCUGUGGCUCUGGGGAGCAGGGGCCCUGCUGGGACGUCCUGGUGAGCAGGGGGUCACUCAGGGUCUGUGCUCUGAACUCCAGGCAAGGGAGCCUGGGGAGUCAGGGCAGGAAAGGACAUGGCCUGAGGGCCUGUGGCUCAUCACCACCCUCUGCGUCCUAGUUUGCAUUCCGGUGGCAUCUGCUGCCAGGGAAAGCCACUCGUCAACACGAGCUGCGGGAGGAGAGGGGAGCUAUUUGGGGCAGGAGACAGACUAAGAAAUAGACAUUGCUCCCCGUGGAUUUCAGCCCUUUUGGGUUUCAGCUGUGCCCUCAUUCUUCCCUGUACGGGGACAGCUGGAUCUUUGCAGGCAGUGCAACAGAGGUGCAACUCCAGAUGUAGUGAUUCCACUUUGGACAGAGGUGCCAGGUGGGGGCCCCAGACUUGUGUCCAGGAGGGCACUGUCUGUGUGCCACAGUCCACCGGCCUCCUGGAGAUGAAAUCCCCAUGCCAGCCAAGAGGGGUACGCGAUGCUGACUUAGAGUUCAGCAUCACUCCACUUCUCCACUCGCCAUGACUCCUCACCUUCUCCUGGGCCCUGCCCUGAUUUUCUGAAUCUCCUCCAGCCCUCUGCGGUGGAAAUGAGGAGGUCGAUGGCUCCGAAACCAGCAGGUCUGGGGUGUUAAGGAAGAUGGCCCUAAGUAUAUCAAUUAGGAAGGGCUUCAGAAGGAAACAGGAUUCUACUCUGAAAGUGCAAAUGAAGGCAUUUUAAUGAAGGCACUGAAAGUUGUGGGCAUUGUAAAGGGAUUCAGCGAAGGAGAACAAGAUGUCCAGAGUUGAACAGUAGCAGUAAGCCAGAGGGGAAGCUACUGUCAUUGGAAUCCAGUGAGGACCGCAAGCGUGAAGGAGGGACUACCCUGUGGGGACUGAGUAUAGAAGGGACCCAGCCAACGGCAGAACAGUGGCCCACACAGGAAAGUGACAGGGAAGAAAUACCCCAACCCUCUCCCUUCCUGCCCUGGUACUUUCCGUUGGUACUUGCUGAGGUCAAGCUAAGUGGCGUUUAGGAUCCCAGGUAACUCAGUCCCUAGGAGCCAGCCUCCCAGGACCCAGGGAAGUACAGCACAUGGAUCUGUAUUGGGGAAAUGGGAGACAAAUGGAAAAUAAUGGCUCAGCAUCAUCUAGUACAUAUUCACAGAGGACAGAGUUGACAGCUAUGAGCUAUUCUGAUUUCAGGGCUGAUAAAGACACCACACUACCCAUUAUUAAGCCUUAUCAUGUACAAUAUACUAUGCCCAGGAUUUGCAAGUGUUAUCUUGCUUAAUCCUCAUAGCAACCACAUGAGGGAAUUACUCUUCUUGUUUUCCACAUUUAGCAGGUCAAUAUGCCAGAUAUUAUAUACUGAUUUUUAGCACCAUCACUGCCUUUCUAAAUCUCUCAGGUAAUGUAGAGGCUGAAAGCCUAACAGCUAUGUUUCUCAGGAUCCCAGCAGGCUUCCAAUUUAGAUUCUCAGCCAAGUUUUAGUAGGCAGAGGAAAGGGAGCAAUCAUUUUCCCAUGGCAGCUGUGUGCAGGCAUGCAGAUUUCAGCAGAUGGCAGUCAUGAGGUUUUGCCAUUAACUUUGGGUCUUCUGCAAAUCAUCCUGAUACUGAAGAUAAUUAUAUCAUUUGCAGGGGGUUCCAAUGAUUCCUGUAGUUUACUGAGCUCUUGAAAAGAAGCAACCGUUUUUCCUGACCUUGACACUCAAGCAUUUUUGAUGGUUCUAGAAGUACCCAUUUUCAGGGAGAAAUCAGUGGAAAACUAUAGCAACGCCAUACAGGAAAAACCAUCAAGAGCUCAGAAAUGAAUGUCUGGUCACCCCAACAAAUAAAGAACAACAAUCAGCUGAGGUUCAAAUUGGAAGAAGGCCAAGUGUGGCCUCAGGAUCAGUUGCAGACUUGAGAACAAUUGCAGCAGCCUGGAUUUUCAUGUUGUUUUAUGUAUUUGUAUAUCCCAAUUUCCCUUUUUUCCUUCUUUUCCCCAAGUGUUCACAUUGGUUACAUUUAUCACUGAUCUUUAGGAUAUAAGAUUGUGGUGGCCAUGGAGGUGUACCACCCAGAUCUACUUCAAAAGAACCUGCUGUGGGAAGCAUAGUUGAUGACGGCCUUCAGCUACUGCUCUUCCAGAUCCAUCAUAGCUGUCACACCAACACUGCAUUUCUACUGAGUAUACCCAGCCAAUGGCUGACAGUGGCAGGGUCCAACUUUUCUUGAACCAUUACUGCUCAACCUGGCACCCUUUGCUCAGGAAUUCUCAUCAACCUGGUCCAGACUUUCUCAGACUUGCAAUGGGGUGUGAAGAUGCUCUGCCUCCUCCUGUUCCCAAGAUCCUUUUUCCUUGCCAGGCAUUUCCACCAAUAAAUCUCUUUCACAUAUAAUUCAGUCUUGGCAUCGGCUCUUGGAGGACCCAAACUGACAGGGAUGUGAAGCUGAGAUUGUGAUUAAACAAUCUCACUCAAAGAUGGAUAUGAUGAUUUUAUGAGACUUUUCAGAGAGGAAAAGAGUGUUCUGUUUGCAUAGAGAAUAGUCAUAUUGUGUUAGGAGCAUGCUGUUACUAUUCUUGUUUUCUAGAAAUUUUAAUAAAGAAGGUUGUGUGCAUACGCUGAGCAGCCAAAGUGGUAGGCUUGCUAGAUCGUGUUUCAAUAGGCACUCAAAUCCAAUUCCCCUAAAUCCUAAUUCCAUUUUUCUGUGUCAUGUUGCAGCUGCCUUACUCUAGUAUUGUGGAUGUGAUUUUGGGUGCAAUGAGAUGCACUUACUAAUAUCUGCAGUGUACAAUGCAGGCAGCAGCAGCGCCAGCUAAAGCUGAGCUCUGGUAGAGUUGGAUUGGAUUUUUACAGUGACCUACCUCUUCAGUGUGAUAUUUCCUCCUGGUCAUCAGCUACAGGCUGUGAGACAGCCCGGGGGAGACAGGGUAGCCAUGUUUCCUCCUACCUCCCAACCACUGGCUGGCGCACCAGCCUCCUGGCCUUAGGUCGCAGCCACAAUGACGUGACCUCCUAAAAUCCCUGGCAAGCUGGAGGAGCAGCCCUGCAACCAAGCCUGCUCUAAGAUAAGGGUUUCUGUUUACUAACCUAGAGCUACUCUAUUCUUUCAUCCUUCUUCCCCUUUCAACUGUCUCGCGCAAGUACUAAUGUUGCCAUUAAAUACGCAUUUUGUUUUGCAAAAUGAGAAGAG